AGUUUACACAAGACCGAGGAGGAAACAUGUUGAGACUCAGAGCUCCUAAGACUUUAUGUUGUUGUUGGGAACUUUUCAAAAGUCAGUCAUGGCAUCCAGUUUUUUUGCUGUGUUUUGUUUUGUUCUCUCUCCCUUUCUGUCUUGCUCUCUCUUCUUUCUUUCUUCCUUUCUGUUUGUUUCUAUCUUUCUUUCCUUCUCUCUCUGUCUGUCUCUGUCUCUGUCUCUGUCUGUGUCUGUCUCUGUCUCUGCCUCUGUCUCUGUCUCUGUCUCUCUCUCUUUCAUGUCAAUACUGAAUGACUGGUAAAAAGAAACCAACUUAAUUGUUUUCGGAAUGGGGUGUAAACUGGGACCUGACUUCUUUAAGGUUUCACAAGCCCUGCCAGAGUUUCAUGGACUCCUAAUGAAGUCUGGAGAAGAUAUCUGCUGGUGGCAAUCACUUCACAAAGUAAGGAAGAAGAAAAGAGAAUUUCUUCCUGUCACUGAGAAGCAUUUCUUCAGACAUCCAAAUAUUCACAGUUUGUUCAGGACGCAUUUUAUUUUAUGAUCACCAGAUUAGAAAGGAGACAGAGUAGACAAGAAGGCACUGGGGGAUGCUUUCCUAGGAUGUCCAGAAGAUAGAUGACAAAGAUGAAGGCAACAGGAGCUCAAGGAAGAUGUAUCAGUAGAUACAACAAAGGAAUUGAUUCUUUUAAAAGCUAAGGUUGUCCAGGCAUCAAUCAUUACAAAGUAAAUGACAAAUGGGUGGGAUAGACCACUCACACCCCAUCAAGUCACUGCUGAAAUGACCAUGAGGCUCAACUACAACUACCAUCUGGUGUGUGCCAUCUCUAGUGGUUUGUCUGAAGGACAAGGGUGGACAAGACACACAGAGAAACACAGCCCACAACUUGACUGUAUCCUCUAAUGUUGAAUGUAUACUUAUGAGUGUACCUAUGGUCUCCCUUCAAAAGGAUCUUCCUAUGUCUGUGCAUGAUGGGCUUCAAGUUUUGAGCAAGUGACAUUUUAUAAACAAUUUUGGAGCCAUGCCCAUAGCAUACUCAUCAAUUUCAGUCAAUCCUCACCACCCUUGCAACCAGAGACUUGCAGACACUGGUCUGUCAGCCUUUCUCAGAAUAUUUAAAGUACAGUAUGAAAAUUCCUUGUCUAUUAAAAAUCUAGAGACACACAACUAGAGUCCUUCAUAUUUUUAAAGUAUAUGGAAAAGCAAGAAGCCUGAUGAACCAGAGAGAAUUGCACUUUUGUGAAUAUACUAGAAUUCCAUUACUAGAUAAAGUAUUGACCAAAAGGGCUAAGAAAGCAGAAAUGCUUAAACUAAGUCGUCUUAUGAGGUACAAGUGAGUUGAUUUUGGACUUCUAUUAAUAUGUACCCAAAAUAUGUGGUACACUAUGCAGUGUCUCUACGCUUUAUAAGGUCGUCAUCAAAAUAGAGAGCUCCAAAAAGAUGUCAUAAAACAUCACACUAAAUUGCAGACUUCCUUAUUUGGAAAGUAUUCUAGCUUUCCAUCAUUAUGACAGAAUACCUGAGAUUAUUACGUUAAAAAGAGAAAAGGUUGACUUAGGUCAUGGUUUUAGAAAUACCAUUCCAUGGCUGAAUAAAUUCACUAUCCAACAUG